AAGACAGAAAUGUUUGUGAGAAUACACAGAUCUUCAGGAUGCUCAACUUUCUUCAUUAACAAAUUAAACAACCACAAUUGCUCACACAUCAAACUGUUGUUUAUUGUGAAUCUGAAACACAACGACAUAAAACAUUUAGAAAAGGAAACACGGCCACGAUGUAACAAGUUUAUGUAGCAACCAACUGACGCUGUAAGCUACUCGUGGUAAUAUCGAUCUUUUUCAAAUGCAACAUACAUAUUUUACCUUUGAGAACCAGUUCUCAAUUUGAUUUUAUUAAGUUGGGAAAGCAAUGUUUAAGUCAAGCCUGAUGUGGCCGUCCUUACACAUAAAAGAUUGAUCCCAGUUUCUGUACACAGUGAGGCAAACAGCUUAUUAAUGAGUAACUGGUAUUUGAUCAGUACUCAGCGUCUGCCAAUAUCCAAAGCUCAACUCUCUGUAUUGUUACCCGGACUGAAAGGACGGGUUGGUGCAUCACUAACUGAGAGGCACGGAAAGGAAACAGUGUUCUAGCUGUAGGACGAGGAGAGGGGGAGAUCAGGAAACUCCAGACUGGGAGCCGUUGGAUACGUUUCCCUCUCAGAACAUAGUUCAUACCACAGCACAGUGGGACGUCCAAGAUUUAAGUGCACCAAAAAAGAAUAGUGUCAUAAAGUUAAAAGCAUGAUUCUGGGGUACCUUUAAAUCUUGUCGUGACAAGUUGAAAUACUAAAUCGUAUUCACAAGCAGCUGCAGGUGACAAGAUCCUUUGGCUGGAGAGAGGAGCCCAGGGAGCAGGAACAAAACAGAGCAAAUCCAUCACGAUAGCAUGUGGCUCCAGAGCUGCAUGCCAACAAGGUGUUUACCUCGUUUCAUACAGUACAGGUGAGGGACUGCACCACAAUUAACUUGAGCUUAAGUGAGCAGAAGCACUUUGUCACAGCGAUGGGCUCGCGGCAACACAAACUAAUGUUGAGCAACAAAUUGCAAAAACAAAAUGCCACUGCAUGCGAGAUCCUGGUUGUACACCUAAUCAAGCCAUUGACUAGCUUUGUUCUAAUUCUUUUUUUGAAUUCAAAAAGCCUGCAAUGGAAACCUUUGCAAGAUGACUCUGUAUGUCUUGACUUUGCUGGUCGGCCGUUUACUCCACCUGGGUGUCUUCUCUUGUCGUUCAACUGUUUGCAAGUUAUAUAUUUCAUUUAGUCUGUAUGCUUUUACGUUGUGUCUCUGACAUGUUUUUAUUCUGUCCAUUUUAACAUUGUUCUCCCUUAUUUUAUUUGCUUUGUCUGUCGAUUGUAAUCUUAUGUUUUUAGGUUUGUUCGUAACAUCAGCAUCACUGGGACUACAGAUGAAAAAUAGCCUCUUGGCUAACUCUGGCACAUUUACUGAAAUGUUUUCAUCAAUUUUCGGCAAUCAUGAGCUAAGAACAUCUCCUGUAUCUCCCGCUGGACCAUUUAUUUCUGGCACAAGACCUUCUCUCAGGGGUCAGACUGGAAAUAGUGAGCCACGAUGCAGCAAGCCUUACCUCAAAGAGCUUUAAUAAGGUUUUCAUGUAAAGACGUCGGAUGCCAAAGGACAGCCC